rnacentral:tRNA from 1 species
GCGGGCGUCGUAUAGGGGUUAAUAUCGAAGUUUUCCAAAAUUCUGACGCGAGUUCGAGUCUCGCCGCCCGCACCA